AAUCAAUCACUCUGACAUCUAGACAAUCGAGUCCCACCGAUGUUAGCGAGCUAUCGAAGGCGGGGUAACCGUCAGAAGCCAGGUGACGAGCCACGAGGGUAUCCGCUGCAAUCCUCAAUCCCGGUCACCACAUAGAUCAAGAUCUAUAACACUUUUCCGAAGAAAAGCCACAUUCUCUCAAAUUUUUUAUGAUAACCGAAAUUGAUGCUAACCUGCCGGGUGAGAAAGUGCACCAGAAAGUACGAGGGAGAACCCACACACCAUCAGGUUGAUUCCUCACUAGCAUGAC
rnacentral:rRNA from 1 species